UUUGUUUCGAAGAGCAUCCACCGACCGACACACACAAACACACACCCUACCUCCUACAUCACCAGCAAAUCUGAGAAGGCAGAGCAGGAGGAGUUUAUGAUUGGUGAGCUCUUCCUCCCUCUUUGCCAUCUACGGUGUAAAACCUCUGAGCCUCCUCUUGCAGAGGAAGAAGCUACUCUCGCCAAAGUUCCAUCAUUCUGAGCUGUGGACGGUGUAACCAUGAAGGCCAUCCUGCUUGUUGCCGUUGCUCUGUUGAUGAAUCUGGUUAUGGCUGCUGAUCAGGCAUCUGAGAAAACACAAGAAAAUAAGAGUACCCCCGCCACUUUUGCCAAGAGUAGCCAAGUCAUGCUCUUUUGUGGCCCAGCUUCCUUUCUGCUGCCGCUCCUGUUGGUUGCGGUUCUCCUCCACCGAGUAGUCUGAUCCAGGAGCCCUGGAGGGUUUUCUUCGGAGAGCCAUCGCAACCCACUCCAUCCCCGGGGGAACCCCACCUCUCCAUCGCUAAGAGCCUCACCCUCCAGCCAGCAACUCUAUCUGCUCUCGCUGCCCUGAUCCCCGUAAUCCUGCGCCUUGCAUCGAUAGCUACAAUCCGAGGCUUUGGGGCUCAACCUUCGGCCGCAGCAGCCAACCGACCUGAGAAAUGAAAAUGAAUCCAGAAGGACUGUCAGAUGUAGAUCCCAAGUUCACGGGUUCAUACCGAGGAGGCCCGCACAACGCGUGAUGCGCAGAGGAAGCGUGCGCAGAAGCACGGUUGGUACACAGAAGAUCGAGCAUGACCCUUCAUGAAGAGCUUUUGGUGCCUCUCCAUGUCCACACAUUAACCAGAGCUACCAACCCACCAGGACGUUUUCUUGGGCAGGCUGUCAACGAACACUCUUGCGCAACUCCUGUUGGCCUCACUUACUAGAACAUCCUGAGCCAUCAGGGCUGAGACCUGCGUCCCACUCUGCGUCCCACCCUUAAUGGGUACCCAGAAAUCUUGACAUCCAAAGAAGACCACCUCACCUUGUCUCAUGAGAUGACCACCCUGCUCUGUUUGCGCAAACUCGCCCGUAAAUGCUGGUGAUGUGAGUAGUGUUCUACUGGCUCAAGAAGCAUUUGGGGAAAUGUACAGAUGACAAGAGCCAAAUCCUCAAGAGGUCCCCGUCUCGAGCUGUGGCAUUACAGGUGGGGGAUGCCAACUCUUCAACCCACAACGUCACUGAACAGGGUCCAAGGUGGAAACGAUGCAAGGGAAAAAUGGUGUUUGUAAAUGCGGUGCUGUUGUCUCCCAGAAACCCCAUGCAAUCAAUUAAAUAAAUGCUUCUUGGCCAGCAAAUUC